CCUACGGGAGGCAGCAGUCGAGAAUCAUUCACAAUGGGGGAAACCCUGAUGGUGCGACGCCGCGUGGGGGAAUGAAGGUCUUCGGAUUGUAAACCCCUGUCAUGUGGGAGCAAAUUAAAAAGAUAGUACCACAAGAGGAAGCGACGGCUAACUCUGUGCCAGCAGCCGCGGUAAUACAGAGGUCUCAAGCGUUGUUCGGAAUCACUGGGCGUAAAGCGUGCGUAGGCUGUUUCGUAAGUCGGGUGUGAAAGGCGAGGGCUCAACCCGCGGACGGCACAUGAUACUGCGAGACUAGAGUAAUGGAGGGGGAACCGGAAUUCUCGGUGUAGCAGUGAAAUGCGUAGAUAUCGAGAGGAACACUCGUGGCGAAGGCGAGUUCCUGGACAUUAACUGACGCUGAGGCACGAAGGCCAGGGGAGCGAAAGGGAUUAGAUACCCCAGUAGUC
rnacentral:rRNA from 1 species